rnacentral:rRNA from 1 species
ACGCUCGACACCUACGGGAGACAGCAGUGGGGAAUAUUGCACAAUGGGGGAAACCCUGAUGCAGCGACGCCGCGUGAGCGAAGAAGUAUCUCGGUAUGUAAAGCUCUAUCAGCAGGGAAGAAGAUGACGGUACCUGACUAAGAAGCACCGGCUAAAUACGUGCCAGCAGCCGCGGUAAUCUGGAGGCGGGCUGGCAAGGC